UACAGAGACUGCAAGCGUUAUUCGGAUUCACUGGGCGUAAAGGGUGCGCAGGCGGCCGGGUGUGUCAGAUGUGAAAUCCCGAGGCUUAACCUCGGAACUGCGUCUGAAACUACUCGGCUAGAGUAUUGGAGAGGGUAACGGAAUUCACGGUGUAGCAGUGAAAUGCGUAGAUAUCGUGAGGAACACCAGAGGCGAAGGCGGCUACCUGGACAAUUGCUGACGCUCAGGCACGAAAGCGUGGGGAGCAAAAGGG
rnacentral:rRNA from 1 species